GGGAAGAUAGUGAAGUGAUCUUAUAGUAAGGCCUCUCCUGCAAACCAACCUUGCAGAUUAUACCAUCAGCUCCUGCUAACAACAACAACACAUGCCACAAUGCAUUUGUUGAAAGGCACAAUAGAGGAGGAAGCGAAAGCUAAGAAAAUUAAUAUCACAUGUAUGAGGACGAGAUCACAUGAUUGGUCUAUAUGAAGCUCUGCGGGUUUAGCCUCAGGCAUGU